rnacentral:lncRNA from 1 species
UCAAACAAACUACACUUCAAUCAAACCAACGUCUAACUAAGCAUUAACACAAUAGUCAAAUGGUAACUGUCUAACUACGCAUUGGAGCUAACAUUAACAACUACAGGUAACUGUCUAACUAAGCAUUAACCAACGUCAUAUUACUCAAGUUAUUCUUGUUUGCGGUACAUUAUUUGGUCUUCUGGAAGCGUAAACUUAUAGGUUUCUGUCUAACUAACAAACGUCUUCUGUCUAACUAACCAUUAACAGGUCUUAUGUCUAACUAACCAACGUCUUCUGUCUAACUAACCAUUAACAGGUCUUCUGUCUAACUAACCAACGUUAUAUUACUAAGCAUAUCACUCAAGUUAUUCUUAUCAUACACAUGGGCUUUCUGCUUCUGAACCGCUUAUGAAUCUCGUUUUUCUUUUUUGCAUUCAACAGAAUCGGAUCCUAUAUGAAAUCAAGCAUCAAACCUAUCUAACUAAGCAUAAACCACAACAGUCAGAUUUGUUCUGUUCAUACGAGAAUGAC